rnacentral:rRNA from 1 species
UACGAAGGGGGCUAGCGUUGUUCGGAAUCACUGGGCGUAAAGCGCACGUAGGCGGACCUUCAAGUCAGGGGUGAAAUCCCGGGGGCUCAACCUCGGAACUGCCUUUGAUACUGUUGGUCUUGAGUCCGGAAGAGGUGGGUGGAAUUCCUAGUGUAGAGGUGAAAUUCGUAGAUAUUAGGAAGAACACCGGUGGCGAAGGCGGCCCACUGGUCCGGUACUGACGCUGAGGUGCGAAAGCGUGGGGGAGCAAACAGG